UCGAUUUGAAGGUUGUAGUCUUUGAAUUGUGACUUUCGGAACUAACGUGUUAAAUCGACCGCCUGGGGAGUACGGCCGCAAGGUUAAAACUCAAAUGAAUUGACGGGGGCCCGCACAAGCGGUGGAGCAUGUGGUUUAAUUCGAUGCAACGCGAAAAACCUUACCUACCCUUGACAUCCAAAGAACUAUAUAGAGAUAUAUGGGUGCCUUCGGGAACUUUGAGACAGGUGCUGCAUGGCUGUCGUCAGCUCGUGUUGUGAAAUGUUGGGUUAAGUCCCGCAACGAGCGCAACCCUUAUCCUUUGUUGCCAGCGAGUUAUGUCGGGAACUCAAAGGAGACUGCCGGUGAUAAGCCGGAGGAAGGUGGGGAUGACGUCAAGUCAUCAUGGCCCUUACGGGUAGGGCUACAAACGUGCUACAAUGGUAAACACAAAGGGAAGCAAGCUUGCGAGAGUUAGCAAAUCUCAUAAAAUUUAUCGUAGUCCGGAUUGGAGUCUGCAACUCGACUCCAUGAAGUCGGAAUCGCUAGUAAUCGUGAAUCAGAAUGUCACGGUGAAUACGUUCCCGGGCC
rnacentral:rRNA from 1 species